GAUAUGAAGGGAAGAAAAUAGUUUUCCUCCAGAAUGCCUAGGUUGCAUCUAAAAUUUUUUUUCUAAUGUUCUACUUAUUUAAAGAUCAAAUCCUUACUUGAAUUAUAGCAGAAUCAGAGAUCAAAUCUUAAAUUAUCUGAUAUAAACCUUCGUGGAGGCCUGGAUAUGCAGAUCCUCUACUUCACAUGCACGUUAGAUGCCGCAGAAAAGCAGGAUGAACUCCAAUCCAAUUGCCUUCGUAACUCAAUUAAUCGAGGAAUGAGAUAUGAUGAUGUGAUACCUCACACUAGUAGGUAGGAUACCCAAGAAGGAUCCACACCUA
rnacentral:lncRNA from 1 species